UCUUUGCUUAUUCAGAGUCGGUCUCCCCCUGAUGUGAAGGUAUUCAAAGGUCUUUGCCCUGAGCUUUCACGGAGUUGAGGGUGCGAUUGUUCUGUCAUUGAGGGCUUCUGGCCCAGCAGUCUCCUCAGAGCCUGCCCUGCCCACUCGCUGCAUUGUGCUAUCCUCCUGUUCCAGGACCAACCCGCCGAGCCUGCCCAGGACCGAGCCUGCCACCUAUUGGCCAAGAUCCAAGAAGUGAACUACUGCCUCGGUGAUCUGAUUUGCUCCUCUGGAAAGGUGCCAUUCUCUGCCCCUCGGGUCGAUGGCUUCAGAUCUCCCCUUGGAGCAGAAUCAUUCCAACAACAGCCAAUCAGCUCGCUGAAAGAACAGAACUACCUGUUGACCAAGGAGCUGUCAUCGAAGCGUGAACGAGUCACUACCUUAGAGCAGGAGAAAGCUUCUCUGGUCAAGCGGCUGAUGGAGGAUCGAGGAGCCCAUGCCCAACUGACCCCGAGGACAGGGACGUCACGUAGCCCCCCCACCCUGUUCUUUUCCACACUGGGGAAGUGAAGAGGAGCCAUGAAUCUCCCCUGCAGACAGGACCACCCGAGGGUAACUCUGACACCAGUCGGAGGACAGUGCUCCAACACUCCAGCAUCCCAGGAGGAACUGGCCAGGAGUUUGCUGUUUCCACUGCACACUCAGUUAGGAUAAUAGGUGAAAGACAGAGGCCCUUAAUCAAGGACUGAACCAUUGGGGUGAACCAAGUAACUUUGCUCUUUCAGAGAGAGAGCCAAUGGAUCAUUGACGUUAACUCACAACUUUGCCCUGCGCGACGCCCCAGCGUGUCAUACAAUAACCUUUCUGUCUAUUCAUGGCUGCGAUUAUUUAUUUCUCUAUUUAUAUAAAUUAUUGCCAAUGC